GAAGUUUUAGUCAACCUGUCUUUGAUUAUUGGCUUGCCAUAUGCAGUCUACGUGUACUUGAUCAUCGCUUAACUUUUUAGCCUGUUUCUCAUGUAUGAAACGAGAAUAAUGAUAUCCAGCUCAUGGGUUGUUUAAAGGAAUACAUGACAUGAUAAGGUGAAGAGGAACAGAUGCUGCCAUGAAAGGGGUUUCCUAGAAAGUGGUGAAGAGACCAUAGCCUAAUGCAAGUAGAGAAUUGGGACCAGGAAAAAUAAAGCCAUGAAAUAAUGAGUCUGCUGUAUUAGAGUAAUGUGGAACAAGUGACAAUUUCAUUUUUUAAGAAUGCUGUUUGUACAAACAACCCCAUCAAAAAGUGGGCAAAGGACAUGAACAGACACUUCUCAAAAGAAGACAUUUAUGCAGCCAAAAAACACAUGAAAAAAUGCUCACCAUCACUGGCCAUCAGAGAAAUGCAAAUCAAAACCACAAUGAGAUACCAUCUCACACCAGUUAGAAUGGCGAUCAUUAAAAAGUCAGGAAACAACAGGUGCCGGAGAGGGUGUGGAGAAAUA
rnacentral:lncRNA from 1 species